UUUCCCGAACCCGAAAGUUUCUUUCUCCCCUUUCCUCGCGACGCCGCUGUUCUUCGAGCGAUUCUUCUCGGGCGGAACGAGGCGACGGUGUUAGGUCUUUUCUCCUGCGCCGACGAAGGCUUCUUACGACCGACCUUCACCCUUGUGUGGUCACCGCGACGAAGGGAGCUCGGGAACUCAUGAAGAAGAGUCGAGAUCCCAAGCUUCUCCCGAAGCCCUAGCUGCCCUCUUCGGUUGUAAGUCCAAGAACAGCGAAAUAAAGGAAAGGAAAAGAUUUAGCAAGGAAGGCGACAAGGUGGUGGUGAUGAAGGAAAAAGAAGACUUGAUGGGGAUGAAAGCUUUUGUGGAGUAAGAAGAUAACUUGAUGUAUCUUAGUUUCUUUAACAUCUUGGAUUGAUGGACUUGUAUGGAAACUUGUUGGAGUGUUGAACUUGUGAAAUAUUUUUAAGUAGCUUAAAGAACAAAUUAUGAUAUUGUAUGACUUGUUGAGUUUGAAUGAAUAGAUGUAUGUGAAUUAAUUAA